AACGAACGCUGGCGGCAUGCUUAACACAUGCAAGUUGAACGAGAAGUCUGACUUCGGUUGGAUGGAGAGUAGCGCACGGGUGAGUAACGCGUGGGAACCUGCCCAGAAGUGAGGAAUAACCGCUGGAAACGGCGGCUAAUACCGCAUACACCUUUAGGGGGAAAGGCUUCGGCCGCUUUUGGAUGGUCCCGCGUCUGAUUAGUUAGUUGGUGAGGUAAUGGCUCACCAAGGCGACGAUCAGUAGCUGGUCUGAGAGGACGAUCAGCCACACUGGGACUGAGACACGGCCCAG
rnacentral:rRNA from 1 species